ACAGCAGCCGCCGCGGUAAUACAGAGGGUGCAAGCGUUAAUCGGAAUUACUGGGCGUAAAGUGCGCGUAGGUGGUUUGUUAAGUUGGAUGUGAAAUCCCCGGGCUCAACCUGGGAACUGCAUCCAAAACUGGCAAGCUAGAGUAUGGUAGAGGGUGGUGGAAUUUCCUGUGUAGCGGUGAAAUGCGUAGAUAUAGGAAGGAACACCAGUGGCGAAGGCGACCACCUGGACUGAUACUGACACUGAGGUGCGAAAGCGUGGGGAGCAAACAGGAUUAGAUACCCCUGUAGUCCCUGUCUCUUAUAC
rnacentral:rRNA from 1 species